AUUGAACGCUGGCGGCAGGCCUAACACAUGCAAGUCGAGCGGAUGAAGGGAGCUUGCUCCUGGAUUCAGCGGCGGACGGGUGAGUAAUGCCUAGGAAUCUGCCUGGUAGUGGGGGAUAACGUCCGGAAACGGGCGCUAAUACCGCAUACGUCCUGAGGGAGAAAGUGGGGGAUCUUCGGACCUCACGCUAUCAGAUGAGCCUAGGUCGGAUUAGCUAGUUGGUGGGGUAAAGGCCUACCAAGGCGACGAUCCGUAACUGGUCUGAGAGGAUGAUCAGUCACACUGGAACUGAGACACGGUCCAGACUCCUACGGGAGGCAGCAGUGGGGAAUAUUGGACAAUGGGCGAAAGCCUGAUCCAGCCACGCCGCGUGUGUGAAGAAGGUCUUCGGAUUGUAAAGCACUGUAAGUUGGGAGGAAGGGCAGUGAGUUAAUACCUUGCUGUUUUGACGUUACCAACAGAAUAAGCACCGGCUAACUUCGUG
rnacentral:rRNA from 1 species